ACAAAGCUCCCGCUGCAAAUAGGGGUCCCUCCUCUUCUCUCUCUCUCUGCCUCUUUCUUCACCUCUGAAGCCUUCUUUCUACUCUUUGGGCUUCAUUCUCAAACAAGCUCCCUUACAUGGUAUCAAGAUGUCCACCAGCUAUAAACUUAAAAGACAUUUCUUCCUAACGAUGUCAACAAAGGUGCCACAGUUCUGUUUUGCUGGCUCUGAUUGGCUGACUCGGGACACAGGACCGUCUGGAUGCAGCCUGUGAUGCAGCCUCCUUAGGAAGGUCCAGAUCGCAUGCCCCGCCUCCAGUUUGGGGUGAGCAGAGGGCAGGGAUGUGGUCCUAAGGAAAAUAAGAGUGUCAGUAGUAGACAAUGAAGUAGCAGAUGAUGUGUAAAGUCAAAAUAAUGUCUUACUACACUGAAAAAAAAAUUUAAGUAUAAAUAAUCUCAAUACUUUUAUCUGUUCUGCAAAAUUUCAGACUUAUGGUGAUGUCGCUAAUCAAAGGGAAUAACACUGUCGAUGGCUUUUUAGACUCAUCUUUUUUAAGGCGGCUCUUUGAAUAAAGAUCGUAUUGAAGCAAUCAAUAGACAAGCAGAAGGUAAUAAGAAAAAAAAAAGCAUAACCCAACAUAAGCAAAAGAAUACUUUCAAUGAUGGCUAACUAGAGUUAUUCUAUAAUUACUCCACCAUAGCCCUGAAAAUGAGUCACCAAAGACUGAAUAUUUAUAAGCUUUCUGACCUCAAAAAAAUUCAAAAUCUUAAAUGAGGUCACCUAAGGAGACUGUGGAAAACUUCCAUGCAACUUAUUGGCAGAUUUUAGUUCUUAAUUCAACAAGCGUGGUAUGAAACGCACGCCAUCUGGUUACUGGGAAAAUUCUAGUCCGCAUUAACUGCUUGUGUGAGAGACAUUCCUGCUAUUGAGCUGUAAAUGAAUGCACCUGCAAAUGGGGAAAAAGAGCACGUCUUAUCACUUGCUCCUAGGGCUGGGAGACGUGAUGACGUAACACCGCCGUUCCAUCCGCUUUUAGACGCUGAUCAGUACAGCUGUUCUCGGCUCCUGCGAUUGUGCCGGGCUGUGCGCGCAACAGGAGUGCGCGGAACAGGAGUGCGCGGCGGAGGGGGAUUCAACUGACACUGAGAGGAAACGGUCCCUUCUCGUUUCUCCAGGGCAACUCCCAACAUUUCAGAUGAAGCGCAGGAACAAUAUCAGCACGUGGCUUGCAAGGUAAAAUUGAUCUAUGCAAAGCAGCUGAAACAAUGGCCAGUCCCCAAAGAACUAACCAGGAGGCGCUUCAGGAGCACUGUUCCUCUCCAUCCCGCUCAGCCGUGACACAGCCAGCCUGAUGCCCCUUUCCUCACUGCUGUUGCUCUGGAUCUUCAGCCGUCAUGGAGGAUUAAGGUCCAGAGCUGCUCCAGGCCUGAGUUCUUUUCCCUUCUAGGUUACUACAGACUAUCAAGAAUAGCUCCCCGUGCCAUACAGCAGGUCCUGGGAACUGCCUGUAUUUAAACACCGCAUCAGAAGCCCCGUGACCGGCUCCGUCAGAGCUCCACGCUCAGCACGAGUUGUGCUCCUCCUGGAGUCUCUGGCCUCCGCUCCCCCCUCACGCGGGGCCAGCACUGUGCCUUGGUCCCGGUGCCUCUAACGCUCUCCCCCUCCCUUUGGCCCUCCCGUCCUCCCGCCCUCAGCUUAGGCACCACUCUGCAGAUGCCUCUCCCCGGACACCUCUGACCUGGAGGACACCGCGCAGCUCCCCUUCACCAAUGCUGACUCGCAGUGCCUGUUAGACACUCACCGAACAACUGUAAAGACGAUGAGUAGGAAGCUCUUUGCAGGCUCGAGUCAGGUUAGACGGGGUCCAAAGCAGCCUCCGCUAAAUCCAGCGUUGCUCGAUUAUUAACUGCGUACUGUCUUGCGAGCCCCGAGGCCCUGGGGAAACUAUUUAACGUCUCUUGCUUGUUCUCUCAAAGAGAUGCUUGGUUUCUGCUUCACAAAUGAAGUCAUCUAUACCAUUUUUCUUGACUCCACAUAUAUGUGUUAAUAUACAGUAACUGUUUUUCUGACUUACUUCACUCUGUAUGAGUCUCUAGGGCCAUCCCCAUCUCUACUAAUGACCCAACCCAGUCCCUUUUAUGGCUGAGUGAUAGUCUAUUGGAUAUAUGUACCACACCUCUUUAUCCAUUCCUCGGUUGAUGGGCAUUAGACAGAAAGACACACAGACAUAAAGGUCAAGCAUGGACACCUGGGGGAGGAGGGGCCGGGCUGGACUGCGCGGCUGGGCCUGACGUAUACACACUGCUAUGCACGCAAGAGGUGGCUGACAAGACCCACGGUGGAGCGCAGGGAGCCGACUCCGUGCUGUGUGGUGCCCUUAAGUGGGAGGAAAUCCAAACCAGAGAGGACGCACGUUCACCCUGAGCGGGUUCACUCUGCUGUACAGUAGAAACCAACAACACUGUAAAGCAACUGAAUGCCGAUAAAAUAAAAC